UUAACUCAAAUUUGUACGGAGUUGAAACGUUUGCCUAUGUUUGCCGAUAGGGGCACUGUUCCAACUACAUACAAAUUUGAGUUA
rfam:Bombyx mori DNA, contig: Bm_scaf6_contig5662, strain: p50T/Dazao, build 2, whole genome shotgun sequence.